GAUGAACGCUAGCUACAGGCUUAACACAUGCAAGUCGAGGGGUAACGAGAGGAAAGCUUGCUUUCCUUGUCGACGACCGGCGCACGGGUAAGUAACGCGUAUCCAACCUGCCCCCAACUAGGGAAUAACCUUGCGAAAGUAAGACUAAUACCCUAUAAUUUCCUCAGAUGUCAUCUGACGAGGAAUAAAGAUUUAUCGGUUGUGGAUGGGGAGGCGUCUGAUUAGCUUGUUGGCGGGGUAACGGCCCACCAAGGCAACGAUCAGUAGGGGUUCUGGGAGGAAGGUCCCCCACAUUGGAACUGAGACACGGUCCAAACUCCUACGGGAGGCAGCAGUGAGGAAUAUUGGUCAAUGGGCGGAAGCCUGAACCAGCCAAGUAGCGUGCAGGAUGACGGCCCUAUGGGUUGUAAACUGCUUUUAUACAGGAAUAAAGUUAGCCACGUGUGGUUAUUUGUAGGUACUGUAUGAAUAAGGACCGGCUAAUUCCGUGCCAGCCGCCGCAGUAA
rnacentral:rRNA from 1 species